UCCAUUUUGAGGAACGUCUUGUUUUCUACCUCACAUUGUUUGUUCAUUAAGGACUACAGUCCUGAUUAUUUUCAUUUUAUUAAAAUUUUUCAUUAAAGAGAAAAAAAAAGACGAUUCAAGCAACAAGUUUUUCCAAAUGGUGAAAGCUACAGCUGGCUGCUAGUGUGGACUCAAUAUGUGGCAACGUUGGAAAAUGCUCGUACUGCAUAGCUCGGUGUGAAAGUGCACAACCAAGAACACACUUUGGGAGUUGUGGACUUCUGAAGAUGUGUAUGUGAGCAAGACGUUCUGCACAUCUAUCUACCCCGCUGUUGGAAGUUCCAGAGCCACUUUCAAGGUGUAGCCGAUGCACCAUCAACUCAAAGUCCUAAUGCGUGUCAGGACUCAAGUACACAAGAGAGGACUUGCUAACCAUCAGAGAGCCUUCUUCUGACUUUUCUUCUGACUUUUUUUCGACAACUCUUGCCAAUUCGCUGCCGCUUUUUCCAGAGUUACUAGUCGGCGUGCUCUUCAAAGCCUCGUGAUCCAGUACACAAGUCCGACUGCAUAAGUGGGGACAUCGUCUAACGCUUGGGACGAAAGACUUUGGAUGUUCUGCGGCUCUGUGCUUAACGGAGACUUGGUUUUGUGGACGAUUGCCCGACGCUGCUAUCCCGUCGUCUGGUCUCAACCUCCAUCGUGCUGAUGUGUUGCCAAACUAACAAGCUUAAUCGAUACUCUUUUCAGA